rnacentral:rRNA from 1 species
ACGCACGCUGGCGGCGUGCCUAAUACAUGCAAGUCGAACGCGAGCGACCGGUGCUUGCACUGGUCAAUCUAGUGGCGAACGGGUGAGUAACACGUGGGUAACCUGCCCAUCAGAGGGGGAUAACAUCCGGAAACGGAUGCUAAAACCGCAUAGGUCUUCGAGCCGCAUGGCUUGAAGAGGAAAAGAGGCGCAAGCUUCUGCUGAUGGAUGGACCCGCGGUGCAUUAGCUAGUUGGUGAGGUAACGGCUCACCAAGGCCGUGAUGCAUAGCCGACCUGAGAGGGUGAUCGGCCACAUUGGGACUGAGACACGGCCCAAACUCCUACGGGAGGCAGCAGUAGGGAAUCUUCCGCAAUGGACGCAAGUCUGACGGAGCAACGCCGCGUGAGUGAAGAAGGUUUUCGGAUCGUAAAACUCUGUUGUUAGAGAAGAACAAGUGCUAGAGUAACUGUUAGCGCCUUGACGGUAUCUAACCAGAAAGCCACGGCUAACUACGUG